GAUGAAGAACGCAGCGAAAUGCGAUAAGUAAUGUGAAUUGCAGAAUUCAGUGAAUCAUCGAAUCUUUGAACGCACAUUGCGCCCGCCAGUAUUCUGGCGGGCAUGCCUGUCUGAGCGUCAUUUCAACCCUCAUGCCCCUAGGGCGUGGUGUUGGGGAUCGGCCAAAGCCCGCGAGGGACGGCCGGCUCCUAAAUCUAGUGGCGGACCCGUCGUGGCCUCCUCUGCGAAGUAGUGAUAUUCCGCAUCGGAGAGCGAUGAGCCCCUGCCGUUAAACCCCCAACUUUCCAAGGUUGACCUCAGAUCAGGUAGGAAUACCCGCUGAACUUGAGCAUAUCAAUAAGCGGAGGA
rnacentral:misc_RNA from 1 species